CCUACGGGAGGCAACAGUGGGGGAUAUUGCACAAUGGUGGGAACCCUGAUGCAGCGACGCCGCGUGGGUGAAGAAGCGCCUCGGCGCGUAAAGCCCUGUCAGCAGGGAAGAAAAUGACGGUACCUGAAGAAGAAGCCCCGGCUAACUACGUGCCAGCAGCCGCGGGAAUACGUAGGGGGCAAGCGUUAUCCGGAUUUACUGGGUGUAAAGGGGGCGCAGACGGCGAUGCAAGCCAGGAGUGAAAGCCCGGGGCCCAGCCCCGGGACUGCUCUUGGAACUGCGUGGCUGGAGUGCAGGAGGGGCAGGCGGAAUUCCUGGUGUAGCGGUGAAAUGCGUAGAUAUCAGGAGGAACACCGGUGGCGAAGGCGGCCUGCUGGACUGCAACUGACGUUGAGGCCCGAAAGCAUGGGGAGCAAACAGGAUUAGAUACCCUUGUAGUC
rnacentral:rRNA from 1 species